AAGCAGCCGGCGGCGUCGCCGCAAAGCCAAGCGACGCCUCUGCGCCCCAGACACAGUCCGCAGAGCGGCGUCCUCGUCGGUCCCUGGCCCUCGAACAUUCUCCGCCGCCCCGGCCUGAGCCAGGGACCGCCGAGGUUCUCCACAGGCCGAGCUAACUUCCCACCCCAGGAACAGAGCUCGCUCUGCUGCCCCCGGUGGCGGCCGGCCGCCACCUUACCCUCGGCUUCUUCGACAAUCGGCGACGGCCGGUUGAGAACUACAUUUCCCAUCAGGCCCUUCUCAACACCGCGAUCGUGCCCGCGAGACUCGGGUGGGAAGACCGCGCGCAGGCGCAGCCUCGCCCUUUCCGAGCUCGGCCGCCGCGUGUGCGGGAGUCAUGGCCGCGAGGCUCCGUCGUGCGCCCACGGGCAGGGCUGGGCCUUGGGUGUCGGUAAGCUGCGGGGGAGGGGACGUGAGGGCCGACGUGCCCGGUGCCCCCUCCUCUCUGCUUUGCUCCUGAAGGCGCUGGAAGGCCCGGGGUUCUGUGUUGGAAAGACGGCGUUUUCCAGGCUGCACAAGUUUUACGUGACAGCGGCCGAAGCCCGUUUAGGCUCCGCGCUCCCGGCUUGUUUGGGGGGCGGGUGGUGUUCCUUUGCUUAAAGAUGCGCGCUGUGGAACAUGAACCAGGAGAUGGAUUAACCGUGGAGUUUAUUACAGCGGGGUGGGGGCGGGCGAGCGAGCAGGGGUCUGUCUGUCAAAGACUCGGUUCCGUGGAACCAGGCACUGCCUGAGUGAUUGUGCCGGGUCACAGGGCCAGGCCAGCACAAUGCCUGGACCUUUCAGGGGGGAUCCUCGCAGGCUGCCCAGCCCCCUGGGCCUCACAGCCAGCCAUGCACGGAGCAUGCGGCCCUGGGGUCUCCCUCGAGGCUGGUGGUCCCUCAUUCCUGAGCCUCGACGCCCGAAUGGGUCUGCUGCCCGCAGGUGGUGACCGCAGGCCGUGAGAAAGGGGAUUGCCAACUGGAAAUCCGUAGUUUUGCAAAUGGCAUGUCUUUCCUUCCUCGAAGGCGUGCCCCUGGCAAAGCAUCAGGUUAAUGGCAGGAUCCCCAGGCGUAAAGGGACCCGCGUGGCCGCCCAGUGAGAAGGCGGAGAAGGACGGCGGGCAUCUGCGUGCACUGUUCUCAGGUUCCCCAAUGAGCGAGCGUUGAGCCAUGAGUCCCUUUCGAUUGGAGUUGGCUCCUGGAGACACCAUGAGAUGCUGUGUGUGGUGCAGGCCAAGUCUGGGGCAGAAAGGGAUGCUGUGGCAGCCUGCAGGUUACUGCCCUAAAGUGCCCUGCUGCUGCUGACUUUAAUCUCCCAGAGAGAAUGUCAUCAAAGGACCUUGGAGUUUGAUCUGCAGAAGUAGCCAAGAAGUCAAGUGACUCUGUCAUCCUGGGAAGCCUCUGGCAGCUAGCAGUUGGAGGCACUGGGGAGGCAGGUGCUGCGCCUAGAAAAGCAUUUCUCAGUGGAUUUCCUGGGAAGUUCAUGUUGGGCUUUGUGAUUUGAAGCACAAAUAAACCUUAUUAGAUUUAACUCACUAACAUUGUGGAUGUGAGAUUGAGGCUUUUCUAACACUGAAGGGUGUUCUAGAAUAACACUUGAACUUGACUGCAGAAAACUAAAGACAUUUCUACUGACCUGUUAAAAAAUUUACUUUGGCUGGGCGUUGGUGGCGCAUGCCUUUAAUACCAGCACUCGGGAGGCAGAGGCAGGUGGAUUUCUGUGACUUCGAGGCCAGCCUGUUCUCCAGAGCAAGUGCCAGGAUAGGCUCCAAAGCUACACAG
rnacentral:lncRNA from 1 species